AGGAUUCUUUUUUUUUUUGGCAAAAUGGUAAAGAUUAUUUAUGUUCAGAGCAUGGCCAAAAUAAUCGGAUUAAAAUUUUUUACCUCAAAAUGAUCUAAAUUUAAAGAUACCGACCUCAUUGGGUGAAAGAUGUCAAUCCAAAUCUUACAUCGGACAUUUAGUCAAAUAAUAUCUUACUAGAUUAAUAUCUACGCCUUGCGGAUGAUAAAUUUAUAUGAAAAUUAUUUAAG
rnacentral:lncRNA from 1 species